CUCGCCGUAUUCGGAGGGAAAGUCGUCACUACAUAGAGAGGCAACUGUGAAGGGGUGAUUCUCGAAGAAUGAGAUACCUGGCAUCCGUAAAUAGACGUACUGGCCUGGCUUCCAUCUCAUCUGCGUAGGGAUCGUGACUUUAACCGCAGUCUCUGGCAGAAUUGUGACUGCAGACUCUUCCCCGAUGAGCCAGGAAAGACGGAAGGGGUUAGUCCAAUUAAGGAAGAACAGCCUAGCGAAGUAUGACACCAGCCAGAUCCCCACGGUAGAAAACAGGUUACAAAGAGCUCAUACAUCCGGUUGCGGAGCACGGGUAAGGAAUGGACACAAAGGAAACAAAGCGGUGCGAAUGCUGCCAGUCCGGAGGCGUAGAUAUACAAAUUUCCAGUGCGAAGCUUCCCAUAUAUUUGCAAUCCGUCGUUCUCCCAGACAGGGGUAAUAUAAAAUGGAAUCAUGUGAACAAGACUCAGAAAGAGGCAGAGGUAGCCGCCCCACCGAUGCAAGACAUUAAGCCGCUCAUGGCCAAUGCCGGUCAUUAGAGAGAUGAGAUUUGCCUUCGAGCUCAACGCGACUAUCCACGGCAUCAACGCAACAGCGAUCAUUCCAGCACGGAUAGCUAGGGGGGGAGAUCCGGCUCGGAUGCUGCUAUAAAAAAGGGGUUGGGGUACGAAGCAAUAGAGCGUGACAAAUAUUAAAGCCAUUGUCACUACAACGCUAGCACCCAUAGACGGGGGUACGAUCUCCACCUUCCAUAGUCGAAUAACUGGAAUUGGUCUGUAGACUAUCCACCUUAUCAACGCUGUUAGGUAGUUUAUGAAUGGUAAAUUCG
rnacentral:sRNA from 2 species